GACAGGAUGGCCGAGCGGUUAAGGCGGUAGUUUCGAAUUCUUGGCUUUUCGAUCAGCUACUCCUCUUUGAGGGCGUGAGUUCAAAUCUCACUUCUGUCG